rnacentral:lncRNA from 1 species
UUCAGCCAUGAAACUGACUCAUCAGUUGAGGGCAGCUCCAGUGCCAGCAAUAGGGUGGCACAGAAGCUCAUCUCAGUCAUCCUGCAGGCACAUGAGGGGGUGCCCUCCGGCCACCUGUACUGUAUCAGCCCCAAGCAGGUGGUGAGUUGGGGUAUGGGCUGGGAGCUGUCUGCAUUGGCCGGCCAGUGGGCAUGGGACAGUGCUAAGGCUGCUGUGUCUAUGCCAGGUGGUCCCUGCUGGGGGCAGCAGCACCAUCUACAUCUCCUUCACCCCUAUGGUGCUCAGCCCUGAGAUCCUGCACAAGGUGGAGUGUACUGGCUACGCCCUGGGUUUCAUGAGCUUGGACAGCAAGGUGAGCUCUUCCAGCCUGGGGUGGGGGCCGCAGCCACUGCUCCCUCCUGGGUAGCAUGCUGCCUACUCAGCCCAGGGAUCUGCUAUGAUCAGACUUGGGCUCAGUAGGUGGAAAGGGAGAUUCCAGGGAAGAGGCAUCGCCUGCAGGACUUUGCGGUGGGACCCCUGAAACUGGACCUGCAUAGCUACGUGAGGCCUGCACAGCUAAGUGUGGAGCUGGACUACGGCGGCAGUAUGGAAUUCCAGUGCCAGGCCAGUGACCUCAUUCCCGAGCAGCCCUGCUCUGGGGUGCUGAGUGAGCUGGUGACCACCCACCACCUGAAGCUGACCAACACUACAGAG